UACGGAGGAUGCAAGCGUUAUCCGGAAUGAUUGGGCGUAAAGCGUCCGUAGGUGGUUAAUCACGUCAGCUGUUAAAGCGUGGAGCUUAACUCCAUAAAGGCAGUUGAGACUGGUUGACUGGAGUGCAGUAGGGGUAGAAGGAAUUCCCUGUGUAGCGGUGAAAUGCGUAGAUAUAGGGAAGAACACCGACGGCGAAAGCAUUCUGCUGGACUGUUACUGACACUGAUGGACGAAAGCCAGGGGAGCGAAAGGG
rnacentral:rRNA from 1 species